GACGAACGCUGGCGGCGUGCUUAACACAUGCAAGUCGAACGGAAAGGCCCCUUUGGGGGUACUCGAGUGGCGCACGGGUGAGUAACACGUGAGUAACCUGCCCUUGACUUCGGGAUAACUUCAGGAAACUGGGGCUAAUACCGGAUAGGAAUCCUUGCUGCAUGGUGGGGGUUGGAAAGCUUCGGCGGUUUUGGAUGGACUCGCGGCUUAUCAGCUUGUUGGUGGGGUAGUGGCUUACCAAGGCUUUGACGGGUAGCCGGCCUGAGAGGGCGACCGGCCACAUUGGGACUGAGAUGCGGCCCAGACUCCUACGGGAGGCAGCAGUGGGGAAUAUUGCACAAUGGGCGGAAGCCUGAUGCAGCAACGCCGCGUGCGGGGUGACGGCCUUCGGGUUGUAAACCGCUUUCAGCAGGGGCGAAGCUUGUGGUGACGGUACCUGCAGAAGAAGCACCGGCUAACUACGUG
rnacentral:rRNA from 1 species